rnacentral:siRNA from 1 species
UAACGCAUAAGUUAACGGUGAUA